GUGCCAGGAGUGAUCAGCGAGAGACCAGGAAACACAGAUGAAGCUGGAUCAUUUUUGGGGUGCAAGGCGCCUUGUGUCGUGCACAUGCUUAAGCCCGCUCGGCCAACUUCUGAGAUCUUAUCAGGAAGCUGCUGAUCACCAUUUUCAGGUGUUUCUCUCUAUUGGAAGACUGCCUUUCCCUGGCGCUGGCUGUGACAAAUUAUUAUUUUAGAGGGACAGUUAGCAACAGCCUGACCAUCACCUGAUGGCUGCCUGACAUUCCUGGUGGGGGCGGGGGGCGCCCUCUCCUGCCCUGCUCAUGUCUGACUAACCACCUGCUGUAACAAUACAUCAUCACCGUGACAACAUCAGAAAACACUGUGUACAGGACCACACCGACCAGGAGAUCCAGAUCCCUGUAGUCUGGCCACACACGCCACCGCAUCUGUAUACUCCAUUCCAGCAGCAGCACAGAAAGCCGAAGCCACAGCCCUCUGCCAUUUCUGUCACUCCCCGGAGCACUGGGUUGAAAGAAUACUAUAUUCAUUUUUUAACAAAUUGCAUUUACAUAAAACUGUCAGGCAUUCAGAAAUAUUUAACAGAAAGGAAGUCACUUCGGCCAGCCUGCAGUUUGUUUUCCACACCUGUGGUCAGUGAUAUUCCCUUGAAGAUCUGUUCAUCUCAUAAUGAAUCUUUAAAGAUGUACUCUUUGCUUUAUGUACUUAAAAAAGAUGGAGAGAAGAGGCAUGUGGGCAAAGCGCGUCGUGUUGGAUUUAUUUAUUUCUGUGUAAAUACUGAACAGUGUCAGGAAAGUCCAUUUCCAGCUCGAUUUCAUCUUGAGCAUUUCUCGCUCCCCAAAGGUAGUGACCUUUCCAUCGUCGGUUGCUCUGAAGUGAGGCGACGCGGCAACCAUUUGUUUCUUGCUGUUUCCUUUGUAUUGUUUUCCUUAAUAUUUUUUCAGUCUCUUGGCAGAUGCUGUAGCUAAGUUGUGAUAGUUUGAUUCCCUUGUACCAUGUUUCAUUUGUGACAAUCGGUCGCCCGGAAUAAUAACAUUUGUAUUUUUACUGUUGUCUCACAUUUUAGUUAAAAUAAAUAAUGGAAACAAUGGUGUUUCCCAAAUACACUCAUCUAAUUAUCUAAUUUUAAUGUUCCUCUUUCCUCUUUAAGCGUGUCUAGGUUUUUAGUUCUUGAUUUGUUUCAUCUCCUUUGAAAAUAUCCCGGAUUUAUCAUUAUUUUCACUAAUUCCUUCAUGCUUAGAUUGUUCUCUGCUUCAUUUUGUGUUUCUAUGGAGUUCAUUUUUGCCCUUUUUGAUGACUAAUUUCUCAUUUUCUUGCAUUUAUUGAGUAUAGCACAUUGAUCAUGCAAAAUUUUUUUAGCUCUUAUACCAAUUAUAUUUUAUUCUAAAUGACAAUGUUAAUAUUCACCAAAUUGGACCAUAUCUUUACCGUACAAGUUGAAAAAGAAAUGUAUCACUUUGGCACCUUUGGAAUAUUUGCAACUCUUGAGAUUUUUUUGAAGCACAAAAUGUGUUUGAGAGAACAGGACAGCCUCAGAGGCACAGAGAUAAAAAUAACCGAAUUAUUUCCAUUCACUCCUCUGUUUGAAGUCAUAAAAUAAACUGAGAAACAGCAUGAAUAGUAAAAA
rnacentral:lncRNA from 1 species